UCCACCAAUCAGAAGACCAGAGCACAAUGGAUCACAUCCAAUCAAACAGUUGGUCUAAUUAACCACAACAAACAUGGCGGAAUGGAAACAACAGAAAGGACAAUGGAUAAAGGAUGAGGUCAGAGGGGACUAUGUGCCAUACUGCAUGAUCCUCUGGACAGAAUACUGCAAGGAUGGGAUUCUAUCACACAACAGGCCCAGGGUAAAACAGGACUAAGGAAUAUUCCUGACAGGCUUUGUGAGAUUCACCCUGACACUGAAGUUAACUGUGACAGAUUGUAUGUUGUAUUGUUGCUUGGAAACAUUUGACCCACGCCUUUCUAAGCAAAGACGGCUUCCUUUUAGUGGACCCAUUAAAAAAGGAAAAAAGAUAACUGCAUGGAAGUUAUUUGUGUUGAUUCUGGAUCACUGACAGUGAAGUAAAAGCUUAUAAAAUGUGGCAUUUCUAUUAAAGCCCUCUGAUGAGACCGAAUCACUCCUGCCAUCAUGUGAGUAAAGAUCACGGGUUUGCUGGCCUAUAAUAAAGUCUCUAUCCUCUGUGUUUUUCGCUCAACUGCACAGAAUAAAUGUUUGCCUCUGCCAGAGUCAAGGGUCCCGAUCCCCCUCAGACACAAUCUCGGAGUAUAUUCAGACCAUCUUUUAUAAAACUCUGUGUCUCCUGGCUUAGGCAUGUGAAGAUGGUGUGCAAACAUCAGGGUGACGACAUAAAGCAGAGCUUCAAUGGGCGCCACACACCCACGUCUAUCUAAAAUAAAAAGUCCUUAGAAUGUAUAGAUAUUAUUUGGAAAUAUUGGUUAAAUAAACUCAA